UACCAGCACCCCGAGUGGUCGGGACGUUUUAUUGGGCCUAAAGCAUCCGUAGCCGGUUCUACAAGUCUUCCGUUAAAUCCAACUGCUUAACAGGUGGGCUGCGGAAGAUACUAUAGAGCUAGGAGGCGGGAGAGGUAAGCGGUACUCGAUGGGUAGGGGUAAAAAUCCGUUGAUCCAUUGAAGACCACCAGUGGCGAAGGCGGCUUGCCAGAACGCGCUCGACGGUGAGGGAUGAAAGCUGGGGGGAGCAAACCGG
rnacentral:rRNA from 1 species